rnacentral:rRNA from 1 species
AGUCUUCGGACUGAGUGGCGGACGGGUGAGUAACGCGUGAGAAUCUGCCUAGAGGUCGGGGACAACCAUUGGAAACGAUGGCUAAUACCGGAUAUGCCUUACGGGGUGAAAGAUUAAUUGCCUUUAGAAGAGCUCGCGUCUGAUUAGCUAGUUGGUGAGGUAAGAGCUCACCAAGGCAGCGAUCAGUAGCUGGUCUGAGAGGAUGACCAGCCACACUGGGACUGAGACACGGCCCAGACUCCUACGGGAGGCAGCAGUGGGGAAUUUUCCGCAAUGGGCGAAAGCCUGACGGAGCAAGACCGCGUGAGGGAGGAAGGCUCUUGGGUUGUAAACCUCUUUUGUCAGGGAAGAACAAAAUGACGGUACCUGGCGAAUCAGCAUCGGCUAACUCCGUGCCAGCAGCCGCGGUAAUACGGAGGAUGCAAGCGUUAUCCGGAAUUAUUGGGCGUAAAGCGUCCGCAGGUGGCUGAUCAAGUCUGCGGUCAAAGACCGGGGCUUAACCCUGGAAAGGCCGUGGAAACUGAUAGAGCUAGAGUACCGUAGGGGUAGAGGGAAUUCCCGGUGUAGCGGUGAAAUGCGUAGAGAUCGGGAAGAACAUCGGUGGCGA